rnacentral:rRNA from 1 species
UCGGUGCCGCAGCUAACGCAUUAAGUACUCCGCCUGGGAAGUACGCUGGCAAGAGGGAAACUCAAAGGAAUUGACGGGGACCCGCACAAGUAGCGGAGCAUGUGGUUUAAUUCGAAGCAACGCGAAGAACCUUACCUAAGCUGGACAUCCCAAUGACAUCUCCUUAAUCGGAGAGUUCCCUUCGGGGACAUUGGUGACAGGUGGUGCAUGGUUGUCGUCAGCUCGUGUCGUGAGAUGUUGGGUUAAGUCCCGCAACGAGCGCAACCCUUGUCUUUAGUUGCCAUCAUUAAGUUGGGCACUCUAGAGAGACUGCCAGGGAUAA